CUCUGUCCAGCUUGAAAAUUUACCAUUAAUGACAACUUUUUGUACUCUGUUUUUAAGCCAAUGUUCUACCCAAGAACAAGCAUUUUCAUCUAGACCGAUUUCCUUGAGUUUGAACACUAAUCUAUUGUGCGGAACUGUAUCAAAUGCCUUGGCAAAAUCCAAAUAGAUCACAUCCACGGCAACACCCUGAUCUAUACUUCUACUUACUUCUUCGUAGAACGCAAUCAAGUUAGUUUGACAUGACCUGUGCUUCAUAAAACCAUGCUGAUUUUUGCUGAUAACCAUGAUCUUCUCAAGGAAUUCUUGAAUAUUAUCCCUUAAUAACCUUUCAAAUAUUUUACCAGCCACAGAAGUUAAGCUCACAGGUCUAUAAUUUCCAGGCAAGGAUUUUGAACCCUUUUUGAAUAUAGGAACCACAUCUGCCUUCCUCCAAUCCUCCG
rnacentral:lncRNA from 1 species